rnacentral:misc_RNA from 1 species
GAUGAGAAUGACAAAGAGCUCAACCGAUGCUAGUCCCUUGACUUCAAAGAUGUGGAGCUCUGUGGUGCUGAAGCAGAACAAAAGACACGCUCUUAAAAGCUCUGCCAAAUUUAGAGUUUUUGCCCUACAGUCUGACAAUGGCACCGUGAACAGAGUGGAACAGCUGCUAAACUUGGACGUAACUCCAUACACUGAUAAGAUCAUUGCUGAAUAUAUUUGGAUCGGAGGGACUGGAAUUGAC